rnacentral:pre_miRNA from 1 species
AAUAGAUGACGCCGUUGACUUUUUCUCACAUGUUUGACCAUUUGUCUUAUUAAAAAAAUUACGUAAUUAUAAUUUAUUUUGUUAUAGGUUGUUUUAUCACUCAUAAUACUUUAAGUGUGAUUUAUAUCUUAUACAUUUGCAUAAAAUUUUUAAAUAAGACGAAUGAUCAAACAUGUGAGAAAAAGUUAACGGCGUCAUCUAUU